rnacentral:rRNA from 1 species
GAUGAACGCUGGCGGCGUGCCUAAUACAUGCAAGUCGAGCGAACGGACGAGAAGCUUGCUUCUCUGAUGUUAGCGGAGGACGGGUGAGUAACACGUGGAUACUCUACCUAUAAGACUGGGAUAACUUCGGGAAACCGGAGCUUAUCCCGGAUGAUCUUUUGAACCGCAUGGUUCAAAAGUGAAAGACGGUCUUGCUGUCACUUAUCGAUGGAUCCGCGCUGCAUUAGCUAGUUGGUAAGGUAACGGCUUAUCAAGGGAACGAUGCGUAGCCGACGUGAUAGAGGGGUAGGCCGCCCGAGAACGUGAACACGGACCAUGCGACUGCGAUACGCAGCAGAAGGGUACCGGCCGCAGUGGUCGAAAACCUUACGGAGCAACGGCGCGUGAGUGAUGAAGAUCUUCGGAGCGUAAUACUCUGUUACUAGGUAAGAACAUAUUUGUAAGGAACUGAGCACAGCUUGACGGUACCUAAUCAGAAAGCCACGGCUAACUACGUG